rnacentral:misc_RNA from 1 species
AAGUCGUAACAAGGUAUCCGUAGGUGAACCUGCGGAUGGAUCAUUAGUGAAAAUAAAUUGGGGUGCUCGAAAGAGACCUCUUCACAUUAUCACAUCACACCUGUGCACUUGUCUUUUUUCAUUAUUGAAGAGGCAUUUUUUUAAUACUACACCAUGUUGAUCAUGUUUUGAAAAUUAUAACGAAAGUAAAA